GAUGAAGAACGUAGCGAAAUGCGAUAAGUAAUGUGAAUUGCAGAAUUCAGUGAAUCAUCGAAUCUUUGAACGCACAUUGCGCCCUCUGGUAUUCCGGGGGGCAUGCCUGUUCGAGCGUCAUUAUAACCACUCAAGCUCUCGCUUGGUAUUGGGGUUCGCGGUUUCGCGGCCCCUAAAAUCAGUGGCGGUGCCUGUCGGCUCUACGCGUAGUAAUACUUCUCGCGAUUGAGUUCGAUAGGUCUACUUGCCAGUAACCCCCAAUUUUUACAGGUUGACCUCGGAUCAGGUAGGGAUACCCGCUGAACUUAAGCAUAUCAAUAAGCGAGGA
rnacentral:misc_RNA from 1 species